GACAGAGGCCCAAACGUUAUUCGGAAUUACUGGGCUUAAAGAGUCCGUAGGCGGCGCAGAAAGUAGGGUGUGAAAGCCCUCGGCUUAAUCGAGGAAUUGCGCUCUAAACUACUGUGCUUGAGGACCUAGAGGUGAGCGGAACUGAUGGUGGAGCGGUGAAAUGCGUUGAUAUCAUCAGGAACACCGGAGGCGAAGGCGGCUCACUGGGGGGUUAUCUGACGCUGAGGGACGAAAGCCAGGGGAGCGAACGGG
rnacentral:rRNA from 1 species